UCUCCGUUGGUGAACCAGCAGAGGGAUCAUUACCGAGUUUACAACUCCCAAACCCCUGUGAACAUACCAUUUGUUGCCUCGGCGGUGCCUGCUUCGGCAGCCCGCCAGAGGACCCAAACCCUUGAUUUUAUACAGUAUCUUCUGAGUAAAUGAUUAAAUAAAUCAAAACUUUCAACAACGGAUCUCUUGGUUCUG
rnacentral:misc_RNA from 1 species